rnacentral:rRNA from 1 species
CGUGAGGCCAACCUCAAGAUGAGAUUUCCCAUAGCAUAAGCUAGUAAGAUCCCUUGAAGAACACAAGGUUGAUAGGUCGGGGGUGUAAGCAUGGUAACAUGUUCAGCUGACCGAUACUAAUAGAUCGAGGGCUUGACCAA